UCUGGUGACCCGAGCGCGGUGGCCCCACCCGUUUCCAUUCCGAACACGGCCGUGAAACGCCGCAGCCCCGAUGGUAGUGCCGCGUGAGGCGGUGCGAGAGUAGGCCGUUGCCAGAA
rnacentral:rRNA from 1 species